ACAGAAGGGCUACACAAGGAUUGUGGAAUUGAGCUCUAAGUAAACGCCCCAUCCACUGACUGAACCCACAGCCUUUGGUGUUCUCUGCUCAAAACAAUGGAGCUGAUCUCUUCGUCAUCCGGAAUUCCAGGCUGGGAUAGUACCAACAAGGGAGAAAUGAGCAAGACAAGUCCUGAGGGUUCCCUUGGUCUGUGGCAAAGUUGUUCUGCACUGGAAUAUCCAGAACUACAGGAGGGUCCCUGGAAGUCACAGGUCAGAGGCAGAGUCAGACGAACAAUCCUGAACUGGUUUUCAGGGGAUGCAUCCCCAGCCUGUGGCUGCAACAACUCCAAAGCUGCUCCUUCCACUUGGGACAGCCAGGGAAAACAUCCCCACCAUGGAUUUCUGACAGGAAAAGCCUCACAGCUCCAGGAUACUUGGCUCCUCCCAAAUCCAGCCAGCACUCCAAGGAACAAACAAGAGGACAGACCACCUCAGGGUGCACACCAUAUUUUUAACACUAACACCAAAACCAGGGAGAACUCACACUCACCUUUUCUCCUGUGCACUUCCUGGGCACAGCUCUCCAGAGCCUCACGCUCCCUGCCUUCCAUGUCUGCUCCUUUUCCAAGACCCCUGGAGCCAGUUCAGGGCAGCCAGUGGCCACCACAGCCCUGGCAGUGCUGCUGGGUGCUCCCAGCCCCUCUUUGAGGGCUGCAGCUGUCCCUGCUCAGGGAUGUGUCACUGCCACCAACCUGGGGUGGCACACCAGAGGCUGCCAAACCACAGGCUGUGUCGUGCAAAGCCUGUGUUCAAUUAAAAUCAACCUAGAGAAGGAAAGCUGUCUUUACCUCAGGAUUUGCCAGGAAAAAGAGCUGUGAGAUCUGCAGGUAAAUACAACACAGCUGUGCCCCAGCUGCAGGGAGGGCUCUGUUCCAAACCCCCACAGCAAGAAGCCAAAAGGAUACCAAGGCAAUGCUCCAGGGCUCUCGGGACUGGGACUGGGACUCUCUGUGGCAAAGGUUUGCACAGGGUUUGAAGCCUCUGCAGUCUGAGACCCAGUCCCAGCUCCAGACUGGCAGUUAUUGCCAAGCUGCUGGGAAUUCAGUGCUUGGCUGCUCAACUGGCCCCGGAGGUCACAGAACCAGGUUUUGGUACAACAGCGCUGAUUUCUGACAACCUG